UGCCAGCAGCCGCGGUAAUACGUAGGGGGCAAGCGUUACCCGGAUUUACUGGGCGUAAAGAGCGUGUAGGCGGCUAGGAAAGUCUCUUGUGAAAGCUCCCGGCUUAACUGGGAGAGGUCAAGGGAUACUAUCUGGCUAGAGGGCAGUAGAGGAAAGCGGAAUUCCCGGUGUAGCGGUGAAAUGCGUAGGUAUCGGGAGGAACACCAGUGGCGAAGGCGGCUUUCUGGGCUGUGCCUGACGCUGAGACGCGAAAGCGUGGGGAGCAAACAGGAUUAGAUA
rnacentral:rRNA from 1 species